AUAAUAUUGGGAGUGAUGAGACCCACAAAAAAAAAAUGAAAAAUGAAAAAUAAAAUAAAAUAUAACAAAACAAGGGAAAGCCCAGAAAAAAACUAGAUCUUGUAAGAGAGAGAGAGAGAGAGAGAGAGAGAAGGGUGGCUGAGUUGUGAGCUGUUUGCUUUCUGUUGUGGUGGUGCCUUCCGCUGCUCUCUGCUCUGCUGUUGGUGUUACUCUUACCCAAUUCUUUUCUUUUCUUUUU